UUAACCGGAAAACCAUUAAAAUUAAUGAUUGUUAUUGUUGAUUCAUGUGGGCAGAGUCGCAGAAUUCAGUCCUUUUGUUUGUGUUACAAAUACAAAUACAAAUACAACAAUUAUAAAUAAAGUUAAAUUUCCAAAGAAAAUUCAAAGGCAGAAAUUGUAAAUAGACCAGACUAUUAAACAACGCACACCUACUGCUGCUGCCGAGUUUUCUUAAAACGCGGCAACGAAUGAGACCUGAAACCGCAAAACUACAAAAUCAUAUUGCAACUUGUAAUCGUUUUCACUGAUAUCGUUUACCAGUUUUCAGUUUUGACUAAAGACCGCACACCCCAUCAUCAUCUUCAUCUUCAGCAAACCCUAACCUUUUCACUGAUAUCAUUCUACAAGUUUUCAUUCUAGACUGGCAGGACUAGGUCAAAUUUCUAUGCUAAUUCACCAAUACCCCCAUUCCCUAAUUCAAACAAGCAAUUAUCACAAUCAGAACUCUAUCCUGCAAAAAUUAUUAAUAUAGCUACAACUAUAUGAUAUAUAACACGAUUAUGGCUGACUACAUCACUUUAAAAUAACAACGGCCAUUCAUCCUGAAGUUUCCGCAUCUACACUACAUAUAUACUUGGACAUGUAUAAAUAUAUAUAAACAAAAAGAAGGGAAGGAUUAAAUUCCCUUCUGUCUAAAUUUCAGCAUGAGCACGUGCGGAACCUUAACCCACAAGCAUGAUGAUUAUCUCAUUCACCCCGACAAUUUGUUGGGGGCAAAUUCAGCAGUCA
rnacentral:lncRNA from 1 species